rnacentral:rRNA from 1 species
GAGGAAAAGAAACUAACAAGGAUUCCCUUAGUAGCGGCGAGCGAAGCGGGAAAAGCCCAAAAUGAAAAGCCUGCUUGCAGGCGUUGUAUUUUGAUCGUUCUUGGGGUGUCAGUGCGGGUAAGUCGUAUGGAAAUACGUACCGUGGAGGGUGAGAGUCCCGUCCAGCCUGCACAGGACACUUCGUACUAGAACGUUUCAGUUGAGUCGGGUAGCUUGGGAAUGCUGCUCUAAUAUUGGUGGUAAAUCUCAUCAAAGGCUAAAUAUUGACCAGAGACCGAUAGUGAACAAGUACCGUGAGGGAAAGAUCAAAAGCACUUUGAAAAGAGGGUGAAAAGAACCUGAAACCGUUAUGGGGGAAGCGUAUUGCGUUGAAUUAUCUAGUUGCUGUGUUUUCAGCCAUGUUCUGACUUGGUGCAUUGAUACAGUGACUGACCGGCCGUGAGUUUGGAAUGGUCGAUUUUGGACCAUUCUGGGCUGAGGGAUCCCUUUUAUAGGUGAGGACGGUGGGCUGCAACGCGAUUCGACCCGUCUUGAAACACGGACCAAGGAGUCUAGCACAGUUGCGAGUCAAAGGGUGCAAGCCUGAGGGCGUAGUGAAAGCGAGUAUGAAAACGAGCAGUUUGAGGCGGCAUGAGAUUGUUAAUCUCAAGUCUGACCUAGAGCAUUUGUGCUGGGACCCGAAAGAUGGUGAACUAUGCCGGAAUAGGGCGAAGCCAGAGGAAACUCUGGUGGAGGCUCGUAGUGGUGCUGACGUGCAAAUCGCUCACCGAAUUUUGGUAUAGGGGCGAAAGACUAAUCGAACCAUCUAGUAGCUGGUUCCCUCCGAAGUUUCUCUCAGGAUAGCGGGCCGACAUAAGUUGUUUUGUGCGGUAGAGCGAAUGAUUAGCGCACUCAGGGACAGAAUGUCUUUGGGCGAUUCUCAAACUUUUAAUGCGCAAGGGUACCGGUGCUUGAUUGACCGGUGCCGCUAAAAACGUCGGCCCUGUGGGCCACUUUUGGUAAGCAGAACUGGCGAUACGGGAUGAACCGUAAGUGUGGUUAAGGCGCCAAACUCUUCGCUUAUAGAACCCAAAAAAGGUGUUGAUUCAUCGAGACAGCAGGACGGUGGCCAUGGAAGUCGGAAUCCGCUAAGGAGUGUGUAACAACUCACCUGCCGAAUGAAUUAGCCCUGAAAAUGGAUGGCGCUUAAGCGGGAGGCCGACACCACACCGUCUGGUAAAGAUUUAUGAUCAGAUGAGUAGGAGGGCGUGGUGGUUGUAUCGAAGCAUGUGUGCAAACCCAUGUGGAACGGCCACUAGUGCAGAUCUUGGUGGUAGUAGCAAGUAUUCAAGCGAGAUCCUUGAAGGGCAAAGCGGGGAAGGGUUCCAUGCGAACAUUGAUUGGGCAUGGGUGAGUCGUACCUAAAUCGAGUGGCGAUUGCUAAGUACCGAUGAAAGGGAAGCAGGUUGACAUUCCUGCACACGGAUGUGGAGGCGGUGACGCACAUUGAGGUGAAGACGUUGGCGAUGGCGCUGGGCAGAGUUGUCUUUUCUGUUUAACCUGUUCCGAUGCUGUGUGGAAUCCGCUUGUCGGGAGAAACACGCAUUUGUGGUAAGAGCGCCGGGGCUUUUCCGGCGUCCAGCUCGCUAUCGACGGCCCUUGAAAAUUUACCUAAUGAUUAAAUCCACGCCGUGGCGUACCGAUUACCGCAUCAGGUCCCCAAGGUGAACAGCCUCUGCUCAAUAUGAACAAUGUAGGUAAGGGAAGUCGGCAAAUUAGACCCGUAACUUUGGGAUAAGGGUUGGCUCUAGUGCUGUGUGGGAGUGGUUGCCCAGUUGUUGGGGUGACCAGCGAAAGUGAAUUUUUCUUUGAGUUUCUUCGGGAAUUCGUUGAUCAUGACAUUGAGCAGGUUAUUCCACAUUGGGCGACGCCCACAGCAUGCAGCAAACUAGAACUGCAACGGGCAAAGGGAAUCCGACUGUUUAAUUAAAACAAAGCAUUGCGAGGGCCGAGGACGGUGAUGACGCAAUGUGAUUUCUGCUCAGUGCUCUGAAUGUCAAAGUGAAGAGAUUCAAUCAAGCGCGGGUAAACAGCGGGAGUAACUAUGACUCUCUUAAGGUAGCCAAAUGCCUCGUCAUCUAAUUAGUGACGCGCAUGAAUGGAUUAACGAGAUUCCUACUGUCCCUAUCUACUUCUAGCGAAACCACAGCCGGGGGAACGGGCCCGGCAGAAUCGGCGGGGAAAGAAGACCCUGUUGAGCUUGACUCUAUUCUAAUUUUGUGAAGCAAGUUGGGAGGUGUAGCAUAGGAGGGAGAGCCGCAAGGUUCGUCCGUGAAAUACCUCUACUCCCAGUCUUGCUUUACUUACUGGGUUGGUGUGGGUAAGCUUUACGGCUGUGUUUUUGAGUCAAUGUUCAAUUUAUAUUGGGCAGACUACAGCCCAGUACACAUUUAGGAGGGGAGUUUGGCUGGGGCGGCACAUCUUCUACAAGACAACGAAGGUGUCCAAAGAUGAGCUCAGAGAGAACAGAAAUCUCUCGUAGAGGAAAAGGCUAAAAGCUCGUUUGAUUUUGAUUUUCAGUGCGAGUCAAAAACGGGAAACCGUGGCCUAUCGAUCCUUUCAUAAUUCGAGAUUUGAAGCGAGAGGUGUCAGAAAAGUUACCACAGGGAUAACUGGCUUGUGGCGGCCAAGCGUUCAUAGCGACGUCGCUUUUUGAUCCU